GAUUAGUAAGUCAGAGGUGAAAUCCCAGGGCUCAACCCUGGAACUGCCUGUGAUACUGCUAGUCUUGAGUUCGAGAGAGGUGAGUGGAAUUCCGAGUGUAGAGGUGAAAUUCGUAGAUAUUCGGAGGAACACCAGUGGCGAAGGCGGCUCACUGGCUCGAUACUGACGCUGAGGUGCGAAAGUGUGGGGAGCAAACAGGAUUAGAUACCCUGGUAGUCCACACCGUAAACGAUGAAUGCCAGACGUCGGAAAGCUUGCUUUUCGGUGUCACACCUAACGGAUUAAGCAUUCCGCCUGGGGAGUACGGUCGCAAGAUUAAAACUCAAAGGGAAUUGACGGGGGCCCGCACAAGCGGUGGAGCAUGUGGUUUAAUUCGAAGCAACGCGCAGAACCUUACCAACCCUUGACAUCCUGAUCGCGGUUUCUCGAGAGAGAUUCCUUCAGUUCGGCUGGAUCAGUGACAGGUGCUGCAUGGCUGUCGUCAGUUCGUGUCGUGAGAUGUUCGGUUAAGUCCGGCAACGAGCGCAACCCACAUCCUUAGUUGCCAGCAGUUCGGCUGGGCACUCUAGGGAAACUGCCCGUGAUAAGCGGGAGGAAGGUGUGGAUGACGUCAAGUCCUCAUGGCCCUUACGGGUUGGGCUACACACGUGCUACAAUGGCAGUGACAAUGGGGUAAUCCCAAAAAACUGUCUCAGUUCGGAUUGGGGUCUGCAACUCGACCCCAUGAAGUCGGAAUCGCUAGUAAUCGCGUAACAGCAUGACGCGGUGAAUACGUUCCCGGGCCUUGUACACACCGCCCGUCACACCAUGGGAGUUGGGUCUACCCGACGGCCGUGCGCUAACCUUUCGAGGAGGCAGCGGACCACGGUAGGCU
rnacentral:rRNA from 1 species